CGCGUGUGUGAAGAAGGCCUUCGGGUUGUAAAGCACUUUCAGUGAGGAAGAAAGCCUUGAGGUUAAUACCCUCGAGGGAGGACAUCACUCACAGAAGAAGCACCGGCUAACUCCGUGCCAGCAGCCGCGGUAAUACGGAGGGUGCGAGCGUUAAUCGGAAUUACUGGGCGUAAAGCGCGCGUAGGCGGCUUGAUAAGCCGGUUGUGAAAGCCCCGGGCUCAACCUGGGAACGGCAUCCGGAACUGUCAGGCUAGAGUGCAGGAGAGGAAGGUAGAAUUCCCGGUGUAGCGGUGAAAUGCGUAGAGAUCGGGAGGAAUACCAGUGGCGAAGGCGGCCUUCUGGACUGACACUGACGCUGAGGUGCGAAAGCGUGGGUAGCAAACAGGAUUAGAUACCCUGGUAGUCCACGCCGUAAACGAUGUCGACUAGCCGUUGGGCUCCUUGAGAGCUUUGUGGCGCAGUUAACGCGAUAAGUCGACCGCCUGGGGAGUACGGCCGCAAGGUUAAAACUCAAAUGAAUUGACGGGGGCCCGCACAAGCGGUGGAGCAUGUGGUUUAAUUCGAUGCAACGCGAAGAACCUUACCUACCCUUGACAUCGAGAGAACUUUCCAGAGAUGGAUUGGUGCCUUCGGGAACUCUCAGACAGGUGCUGCAUGGCUGUCGUCAGCUCGUGUUGUGAAAUGUUGGGUUAAGUCCCGUAACGAGCGCAACCC
rnacentral:rRNA from 1 species